rnacentral:rRNA from 1 species
AGAGCGAACGCUGGCGGCAGGCCUAACACAUGCAAGUCGAACGAACUCUUCGGAGUUAGUGGCGGACGGGUGAGUAACACGUGGGAACGUGCCUUUAGGUUCGGAAUAACUCAGGGAAACUUGUGCUUAUACCGAAUGUGCCCUUCGGGGGAAAGAUUUAUCGCCUUUAGAGCGGCCCGCGUCUGAUUAGCUUGUUGGUGGGGUAAUGGCCCACCAAGGCUACGAUCAGUAGCUGGUCUGGAGAGGAUGACCAGCCACAUUGGGACUGAGACACGGCCCAGACUCCUACGGGAGCAGCAGUGGGGAAUUUGGACAAGUGGGG